rnacentral:misc_RNA from 1 species
GUGAAUCAUCGAAUUUUUGAACGCAAAUUGCACUCUCUUCGGAGCGUAAGACUGUUUGAGGGUGAGCCUCAAAAAAAUCGACAUCGUCGCUGUUUCGCGGUGACAUACGUCGGUAAUUGGGUCAUAUUAAACAUUUGGGUUUUAAGCGGCUUAAAAAUUUCUUUACGAUUCUACGAACGUUUC